UACAGAGGGGGCCAGCGUUAUUCGGAAUUAUUGGGCGUAAAGGGCGCGUAGGCGGCCGAUCAAGUCAGAUGUGAAAGUCCUGGGCUUAACCUGGGGACUGCAUUUGAUACUGAUUGGCUUGAAUGCAGGAGAGGAUAGCGGAAUUCCCAGUGUAGAGGUGAAAUUCGUAGAUAUUGGGAAGAACACCGGUGGCGAAGGCGGCUAUCUGGACUGUGAUUGACGCUGAGGCGCGAAAGCGUGGGGAGCAAACAGG
rnacentral:rRNA from 1 species